UACGUAGGGGGCAAGCGUUGUCCGGAAUCAUUGGGCGUCAAGAGCGUGUAGGCGGCCAGAUAAGUCCGCUGUGAAAUCUCGAGGCUCAACUUCGAGCUGUCGGUGGAAACUGUCUGGCUAGAGUCCGGAAGAGGAGAAUGGAAUUCCUGGUGUAGCGGUGAAAUGCGCAGAUAUCAGGAAGAACACCCGUGGCGAAGGCGGUUCUCUGGGACGGUACUGACGCUGAGACGCGAAAGCGUGGGGAGCGAACAGG
rnacentral:rRNA from 1 species